GGGGACUCUCCACCAUCGUUUGUCAUCUUCAAUUUCAUCAAAAGUCCUAUACUUGAUCUCCAGCAGCAACUUUCCACCUCCACCCAUCCCUUCUAACUCCACUGAUACAUCAUGCAAAUUUCCUUGCAAAACACACAUUUGUCACCAGUUUAACAGGUUUCUUUUCCUUGAACCACAAACAACACUAUGCAGGCGAUUCUCUUUU
rnacentral:misc_RNA from 1 species